CCGCGGGAGGUCCCACGGUGGGAUACGGCUCUGUAAAAGCACUGCGCUGUUCGGCGUACAGCAGGUUCGACUCCUGCCCCGCGGA
rnacentral:tRNA from 1 species